AGCUUCUUUCUCUCCAAAGCCCAUGAGGCAGAAGAAUCAUUGUUAAAGAACUAUACUGAUUUUUUAUAUGUACUUUGCUUUGUUUUAUAAAAUAAGGAGGCAGUGUCCUAACUGGUGUGAUCCAGCCUCUUCAGUCACACAGGUGCAGAUCAAAUGAAGUCCAGAGCAGCGAAGGCCUUUGCUUUGUCUAACUGGUUAUUGCUGGGCGAUGCUGCUGAGAACAAGCAAACAAGAGAGAGACUAUGCAAGCUGGUAACAUCACAAUAAUGUCAAGUUUUCUGUUUUCUGGAGCAAUUCUAAUGCUUCUGUAACAUCUGGGCAUGGCAAGGCCUGCAUUACUGAUGAAGCUGGAUAUUUUUUCUUCUACCUUUUUCUUCAUAGAAGAACAAUUAUUGCACUUACUUAUUCCACUGCUUCUCCCCCUCCCCCACAUUUUCCCUCUGACUACUUCUGCCCUGAUGACCUCUUUGAAGAUGCUUAAAAUAAUAUUCCAGGCUGACAGAAGAACCAGAAAGGGUGACUGUGAAUGAGGCUAAAAAAGAUAUCCCUUGUGUUUAUUGGACUGUGGACAGAAAAUGUGCUUGUUUAAUGAAGAAAGAAAAAGAAUUAGAUUCCCUCAAAACAAGAAGAAAAAGGACCUAGAACACUGUUAUCAUUCACCACUAAUGACAUGCUGUCUUAAAUUGUCCCAGAACUGAAAGAGAAUGUCAUCUUGCUUCUACUUUGGUAAAAGCAUUGACUCUUUGUGUGACAGC